CACCCGGUGCCUGCUGCCCGGCCCGGUGGGCUGAGGCGCCGGCGGGAAGAGCGCGGUUCUUUCGCCGCCGCCCCCCUUCCUUCCUUCCCUCCCGACCGCCGGAUCCCGGCCGGUUCCCCGCGGCGCCGGCGGGCGGGGCCCUCCUGCCGCCGGUCCCGGGCCGUGCUGCGCCACAGACAUGGCAGCACCCGGCCAGCGAGCAGAGGGCCUGGGGAGCGGAGCCCGCACCCCGAGGCCCCCGAGGUGGGCGAGUGGAUGUGCGAAUCACACAGUCGCAUAAUAAAUUAGAUUUAAAAAGACCUCUGAAAUCAUCGAGUCCAGCUCGUGACCGAACACUACCAUGUCAGCCAGACCGUGGCACUGAGUGCCACAUCCAGUCUUUCGUUAGACACCCCUAGAGACGGAGACUCCUCCACCUCCCCGGGCAGCUCCCAAUGCUUAACUGCCCUUUCUGUGAAUAAAUUCCUCCUAAUCCGGGGACGCUCGGCACUGCCCAUCCCGGGGGUGCCCAGAGCUGCCUCAGGCUCCCGUCGGCGUUACAAAACAGACAAAAAUCCCCAAACGCCAAAGGAUAAAUAAGCCCACAAGCCCCGCGCUCUCUGCCAGGCCCCAGCGUGUGCCGGGGACGGCGCAGGGCACGGUACGAGGGAUCGCAGAGUCCUGACAGCGCUCCCGCCCAUCAGAGGGGCUGUCGCAGGCAUAGGUGACACUGGCGCGGUCCUUCGCCAGCCCUCUCAGCCCCCGAGCCGUCCCAGAGGUUACGGGCCACGAGUUUUCCUCAAAUCUCUGAGGGCUCAUCCGUGAGGAAAUGCCCGAUCCCGGCAUUUCCCUUCGGUGCGUUUGGACUCCGUCGGGCCGCGCACCAUUACGAGAUAGGAGUGGAAGGGAAAUGCAGGCACGUGCAUGUUUUGCAUGGAGAAUCAGGGGGUGUUGAUCCAAAACCGGACAUUUGCGAGGAGGACUUCCCUUGCCGCUCACCCUCAGGGCCGAGCUCUCUGCAAUCCACGUAAGAGCCGCAGCAGGUAUUUGGGAAGAGCCUAGACUAAACACAGAAUCAAUACUGCAGCCUACAAGAGGAGCCUACUGGCAGGAGGAGAUUCACAGCCCUAUGUUUGUGUUGCUUUCCUGGGCCUGCCAACAAGAAGUCUGAGGUGGAGGAUGAGCCUGAUGUCCUGGAAAAGCUGCAGAGUCAGACUGAGUGAGCACGGGUGUGGCAGAGCUUUUCAGCUCCUCUUGCUGCAGCCUUUUCACAAAGGCAGAACCGGGUCUCGUUGGUAUUUCUCUUCCUGCUGUCCUGAUCACCAUUCUGCAUGCAAAUGUGCCCAUGGACUAAAUACCUUGAAGCUCAUACUUUCUAGGAGAUGCACAUUACCGUGUCUUCUUCAAGCCUGUGUAUGGUUUAUACUGCAUCUGGUCCCAAAAUAUGAGUGAGAGGAAAAACAGUGGUGGAAAUUGAAGGAAAGAAGGAAGCCAGGGCAGCUCUGAUAGCUUUUCUGUCUCCUCCUAAAGUGCAAUGGACAUACACAGAUGCGGGGAAGCACGUGCAUCCACGUCUGUCACUCACAACAGUUUGGAAUGGGGGUAAGACGACCUAUCACCCCAAACCCCAGCCAUUCUUGAAUGAGCUGCUGGAGAUCUUUGGUGCUGCCUCCCAUAGCCACCUCCUGGCUCAAUAGAGCUGGUGGCACUGGUCUCCCCAGCAGUGCCUGCAAGUAUAUGGGAAGCAGGCAAAGGCAAGGCUGGGAAAUGGGGAGGUGCAGAGCAGGAUGGAUGGACCAAGUGUCCCGAACAGAGAGAGAAAAUUGAAAUCCCAUAGAGGGAACUCUUCCUUCUUUUGGAAGGCACUUUGAAGGGCAGUUUUAAAAGAUUCCUCCAGUGGACUAAAGAAGAAGACAUGCUCGAGGUACAAGCACAUACUGCUUUCAGAACCAAGACCAUCGCUGCGGAUGCAAAGACCUGGUGAGCUACCCCUUCUGUGUCCAAUGGAGAGAGGCUGGAAAACUGCUAAAAAAGGGAAAGAACUGGCCAAUGCCCUGUUGUUGUGAAGGAGUCAAGUAGCAGACAGAGACACAAAACAGAACUUGCAGCACCUUGACUUCUGGGACUGAACGCAAUGUCAGCUCAGGCACAGCCUCAAGCAAAUGCACACAAAGCCACAGAGGAGAGGAAAAUGUUUCUGUCCCCAGCUAAAACAAAUAUGCUCAGGGCAAUAUGCACAGAUGAAAGAGGGAUGAAUCAGAAUGAUACAGCUGGACCCAAAACAAAGUUCUCAAGGAUAUAAAUUGGUGAGUAUCUGGGUACCAGGUCCUGAAAAACCAAACAUUGCAAACAAAAUGGACAAUCAAAAACAGGGACAUCUGACAUUUCACUCAUCUCAACGGGACAUUAAAUAGGAGUUCAAAUUUCAGGGAAUGGCAUUUAAUCUGGACACCCUGUUGCCUGGGUGAAUACUUUGACCACUGUUGAGAUUAUCUUCCCCCUCCUCUUCUGUUCUCUUCCUGCCCUCCUUCCUCUUUCUCACCAAAACUACCUGACAAAUCCAAGAUAAGCUUUCUACCAAGAAACAUAGUAAAUAAACUGUCUAGCUAUAAA